CGCACAGCGGCCCGCGCGCGUUCCUCCCAUCGUAAUAACCACAACAAAACCCGACAAUAAUACCUACAAUUAAAUCAAAUUAAUUAACAAUAAAACCAUUAUUUUAAAAAGACUGUCUUUGAAAUGUCGACAAUAAUUAAAAUAGAUGUAAAAAUAAAAUUUUACUGAUAAGACUUUACCGGUAGAUAAGUGAAAGGCUUCGGUGAUCUAACCAUGUGAAAAAGUGAAAGUGAAGUGUAGAACAGUUCGUGUAUAACACCGACCGGUUUCGUACGAUCGUUGCGCGCGCGCACAAAUAAUAAAAACCUCAAAAACCAAUAAAAAUUAAUUAACGCUGUUAAAACUACACGAAAUAAGUACUUAAUGGUUAAAAAAGUGUUUAAAAAACCAGAAUUUCAAUAAGAUUUAUCAAUUUAAAAUGAAAAAACACGUGAACUUUGCCGGCGAUUAAAAAAAAAACAGCGCCGUCUUUUGCCAACCAACUGAAUGCAAAAAAAAACCGAAAACAGUGUAAAACUUCCAAGUUCAGAGUUCCUCGAGAAAGGUUAAUUCCAAUUAUUAGAAAAAAAAAUGUCCAAAGAAAUGAGACUCGGAGUUCCAAUGCCAGUUAAGUUAAAAUAGAGAUUGCAUACAGUUUCAAAGCAAAGAGAUUGCCAAAUUAUUUGUGAAAAGGAGUUUUUCAAAAACUUGAAAAUAAAGAGGUCCUAUUCCACAGAUUUAAAAAAUAACUGUCAACUCAGUUAUCCAUAGAGUUUAAAUCCAAGGAGGUUUCACGUAAAAUUAAAAAAGAAAAGAGUUUGAAGAGAGGAAGGUUUUAUUUAAA